rnacentral:rRNA from 1 species
UACGUAGGGAGCAAGCGUUGUCCGGAAUCAUUGGGCGUAAAGAGCGUGUAGGCGGUCCGGUAAGUCGGCUGUGAAAGUCCAGGGCUCAACCCUGGGAUGCCGGUCGAUACUGCCGGACUAGAGUUCGGAAGAGGCGAGUGGAAUUCCCGGUGUAGCGGUGAAAUGCGCAGAUAUCGGGAGGAACACCAAUGGCGAAGGCAGCUCGCUGGGACGUUACUGACGCUGAGACGCGAAAGCGUGGGGAGCAAACAGG